rnacentral:rRNA from 1 species
CCCUUAGAUGUUCUGGGCCGCACGCGUGCUACACUGAGUAAUUCAAUGGGUAAGGGAACGCUAGAGCAUUACCUAAUCUUGAAAUUUGCUCGUGAUGGGGAUCGACGGUUGCAAUUUUCCGUCGUGAACGAGGAAUACCUUGUAGGCGCAUGUCAUCAUCAUGCGCCGAAUACGUCCCUGCCCUUUGUACACACCGCCCGUCGCUCCUACCGAUUGAGUGAUCCGGUGAGGCUCGGGGACCUGGACGGAAAGAGCGUUUCGCUUGUUCUGUUUGGGAAACUUGGUCGAACCUUAUCAUUUAGAGGAAGGAGAAGUCGUAACA